AUUGAACGCUGGCGGCAGGCCUAACACAUGCAAGUCGAGCGGAUGAAGGGAGCUUGCUCCUGGAUUCAGCGGCGGACGGGUGAGGAAUGCCUAGGAAUCUGCCUGGUAGUGGGGGAUAACGUCCGGAAACGGGCGCUAAUACCGCAUACGUCCUGCGGGAGAAAGUGGGGGAUGUUCGGACCUCACGCUAUCAGAUGAGCCUAGGUCGGAUUAGCUAGUUGGUGGGGUAAAGGCCUACCAAGGCGACGAUCCGUAACUGGUCUGAGAGGAUGAUCAGUCACACUGGAACUGAGACACGGUCCAGACUCCUACGGGAGGCAGCAGUGGGGAAUAUUGGACAAUGGGCGAAAGCCUGAUCCAGCCAUGCCGCGUGUGUGAAGAAGGUCUUCGGAUUGUAAAGCACUUUAAGUUGGGAGGAAGGGCAGUAAGUUAAUACCUUGCUGUUUUGACGUUACCAACAGAAUAAGCACCGGCUAACUUCGUG
rnacentral:rRNA from 1 species